AUUGAACGCUAGCGGGAUGCUUAAAACAUGCAAGUCGAACGAGUGGCGGACGGGUGAGUAAUAUCAAUGAACGUGCCCAGUAGCGGGGGAUAACUACUCGAAAGAGUGGCUCAUCCCGCAUACUAUUGGAGCGGCCGAUAUGGGAUUAGCUAGUUGGUGGGGGAAAGGCUCACCAAGUCAACGAUCCGUAGCUGGUUUGAGAGGACGACCAGCGACACUGGGACUGAGACACGGCCCAGACUCCUACGGGAGGCAGCAGUGGGGAAUUUUGGACAAUGGGGGAAACCCUGAUCCAGCCAUCCCGCGUGUAUGAGAAGGCCUUCGGGUUGUAAAGUACUUUUGGCAGAGAAGCGGUAUCUGCAGAAUAAGCACCGGCUAACUACGUGCCAGCAGCCGCGGUAAUUC
rnacentral:rRNA from 1 species